rnacentral:miRNA from 1 species
ACUUGAAUCACCUGGAGACUUUGUAAAAUGCAGAUUUCUCCAGGGGCCUGAGAUUCUGCAGGUAUACAAGUUCUCUAGUGAUGCCUUG